GGCGUCGCGCCCUCGCCCGGCGGCCGACGCCUCAGCCCAUGCUGCAGUCCCGCCGGCCUGGCUCCCGCGCAGUCCCAGUCAGGCAACGCGGCCCGACGCUACCGCGCCAGCUCCCUCCGCGCCGCCCGCUACCAUGGAAACGGCGGAGGAGGCGCCGGCGCUCAGGCCCUAGCGUGCAAGACCGGAACACCCGCAGGGUCCCGACCCGGAAGGGAAACUGAAACCAAGCUGCAGGAAAGCACGUAAUUCAAAGGAUUCCUCCACAAUCGGAGUGAUGUACAAGGGAAAAGAAAGGCCGAUGUCUAACUGUGUUUCUUGGCAACUAACCACUCAUGGAUAUGCUCUCAAGAUCGCAACCCAUUUCUUGACAAAUACAGUGGUACCCGCCACACAGGCAGAUCCACAGACUGACAACAUCUUUUCAAACGAAAACAGACCCAUAAAGGAAAAAUAAUUCAUUAAUUCCGUGGGGACUUCAAACAAAUCUUGGGCACUCUCUAUUCUUUCAUCUUUGCCGCCCAGAAUUUCCAAUCCCGGAAACCCCACUGCAAAGCAGAAAAGCUUUGGUGACCGUAAGGAAGCAUUUCAGAUUUAACUUUAUCUGGGCCUCAACAUUCAAUGCUGCAUUAGAUGAUCGCGAACUUUCCACUCGACCUCCCUGCCCC